UUUUUUUUUAAACUUCACUGCUCUGAGUCAGAAGCCAGAAUGGAUGUCCUACUUGUAGUCAUAGCUGCUGUGCCGCUCAUCUUGGGACAAGAAUAUGAGGAAGAACAAAUAUAUGAAGGAAUAUAUGAAGAUUAUCAGGUGGUCUAUUACACAGUCACUCCAUAUUACGAUGACUUUGGAGUCAACUUUACCCUUGACUAUUCCCAAUUUGAGGAGGAGGAUAGAAUGAGCAUUGAGAAACAAACUAUAACUCAAGCAGGAGACAGGAAGGUUAAUCCUGAGAAAAAACUUCCAGACAAUGGCAUACAGAAGACAACAGAAAAAGCCAGUACUCAGUCCACUACACCAAAGGAGAGAUUAUACACAGAGAAGAACUGGGGCCAAGAAGGAAAAGAAGAUGGCCCCAGGGACAGAAAAGAAUCUACCACAGAGGCACCUUCAGCUAUGGAUGCUGCUGUGCCCACUCUGCAGCAUCACCUCCCACUCCUCCUUCUGCCCUGGGUUCUGCUGAGGUGGAUAUUGCUACUUUAGAAGGAGAGAGAAGGCUGCCAUGACUUCUUUGAAAAGGGGGUGGGGGGGGAGUGGAGUGCAGAAACUGGAAAAAGAAAUAAAUAAUUGAACCACAA
rnacentral:lncRNA from 1 species